UUUUCUAACAUACAAUUUAUAAUAAGCAGAGAUUUAUGAUUGAUAUUAGCUAUAAUUAGCUUUAACAUUACACAAGACAACCAAACCCAAAGCAACUAUAGCCACUUUAUUUUAUUUUAAAAAAGCAAACAUAUAUGAUAUGCUUUUUCUACAUUAUAUCAUUACAUAUAUUGCCUCCAAUAUCUCUGCUUCAACCUUUCAUGUGUUGCACUUCAUUUGCAGUUGCAAGGGUCACAAGUGCAGCUAUCACCACACUUGCAGCCACCAUCCUCAGCUGCAACACUCAUUUCAGCACCAUCAAACUGGAUCUUCGCCGGACCGACGCCAAGAAUCACGGUUUCUGUGGUUUCCAUUUCGGAGUAGCUCAAUCCACUAGACCUCUUGUUGCAUCUGCACAGCAAUAAAAAUCAAAAUAAUCCAAUAAAAUAUUAACAAAUUUUUUGCAAGAUUGAUUCUUAAGAAAAAAAAUAAAUACCAACAGAUUAAUAACCAUAUAGAAAAAAAUAAUUAUAUAGAUUUUAAUGUAAGGAAGAGUUAAGGUGGUGGAUCCUUACUUGCAGCUAUCACCACAGUUGCAACUGCUUCCACAACCACAGCUAGACAUAUUUUCAGAAACUAAGAUUUUUUUUGCAAACAACAAUUGAUAUUAAUUGCUUGGUUAGUGUUAUCUUCUAUAAAAGUGGUGUCUUUUAAUGAUGCUGUGUGACUCCAAUUUAUAAGGUGGAAGAGAAUAAUCAGUGAAAUCUUGACCGUCCACGUGUUGUAAUCUUGUGUUGUAUGGGUCCACAAGCCUACGCUUGGAUCAAUUCCUAGUAGACAUCGUUUUCAUUGCACGUCUUAUUGUGGUGUUGGCGAUAAAAUUGUUGCAUGCUUGCUGAUUGGUUUUCACAAAACAUGAUAUUUUAUUGAUUUUAUAAAUUUACUUUUAUUAACAAAUCAUAUUUGAAUAUAAAAGUCACCGCAACGUUUUUGCUUUUUGUACUUUUGGAGAAACAAUUGUUUGAUGAGAAAUAGAAUUUUGAAGCGGUAGGAUAAGUUUUCGGUACGAUAGAGAGAAGUUAAUAGUGAAAAAGUUAAAAAUAUAUAAUGAGGAAGAAUGAAUUUGAUUAUUUAAAAAUGACAUUUUUUUUCUUUUAUGGUUGAGGUGGUUAAAACCGCAAGCGAGGAGUGUGGCGUGAAUUGUCAUCACUGGUUCGAUUGAUCUGGACUGUUGAUAAUGUUUUAGAGGUGAAAUUGUCUAUUCUCAACGAGGAUGGAGGAACACUUGUUUCUCGCAUGCGCUCCUUUGCUUAGGUUUCGUCCAUUGCCUUGUGAGCGGCCACAAAUUGUUGUCCCCAAACCCUUGCUAUUGCUUUGUAAGAUACGUGUUUGCUAUAUACGUUCUAGACCGAUUGAUUGGCAUGAGGAGAUGAAGAGCUCUGAUGGGACAUCACUAUUAUUGGUAACAUACACAUUAAGUAUCUUUCUAGUAAUAAAUCUGAUGUGUGUUCCUAUGCUAGUUCCUAAUGAUUCUUCGUCUUCCUUAGAGAACUUAAGUACUUUGCAUAAUCUUUGAUGAAAUAUCGAUCGUCGAUGGUGCGUAGUAGAUCAUAUGAUCUCUAGUGGUAAAGGCACAUAUAAAAGAUCUCUAAAGCAUCAUUUUUCUAUUUAUUGUCAUCUGCAACCUGUGAAAGAUCUUAUUCUUGUCUUGCCAACUUCGUUCUUUAUCGAUAACUCUUUAAUUCUAGUUUCUUGCCUAAGCUCACAUGCAAUUUUCGUUUGGUGGCCUUUGAUACGCACACCAACCUACUUGUUUUAAGGUAAAGCCAAUGACUUAUUCUUGCUUUUGCCUUUUUAUAGUAUUUUUUGGACAAUGAGUUUUUUAGAAUGGACAUUCCAUCUUACAUAUUUUGCAAGGAAAUGAGGAUAUUUAUGUUGGACAAGCAUUAACUACCAUACAACGUAAUAUACCUACUAAGACUUCUGAGUCUCAUUUCCCUUGAAGGAGGAACACACAUACAUGUACUUUUUAACUAGUACAAUGACGUCCAUCGUGGGUCUUUGUAAAACUAUCAUAUGCCACACCGUGUUCAUCACCAUCACCCUGCAUGUUGUUACCCUUCACUCAUACACCUAGCCAUUUACAUCCAUGGCAAACAGGAGAGCUUCAUCCCCACACCAGAAGAUACCAGUAGUAUUGGUGAUGUCGAUGCUCUAGCAGAGAUGCGUGCCUCCAUGGAUGAGUUACGUCGCUAUAACCACACGCUGGAGGAUGAUGUCCACAAUAUCAAACAACGCCAAUAGGAUUCCAAUCCCUAGAGGAGAUGUAAAUGUUAGACCCCUAGCCGCUCUCAGAUGAGAUAUGGGGGAUAUAUGCCCCGAGGGUUUCAAACAUCCAUACUUGGCCAAUUUUGAUGGGCGCAAAGAUCCCUACGAGCAUGUCGCCUCCAUCAAUACAAAGAUGGCCAUUAUAGGAGUACCUGCCUCCCUGAAGUACAAGCUGCUAUCUAGCAUUUUUAGGGACGUCGCCCUUCGAUGGUAUAUGGGUUUAUCCGUGCCUCCAUCAACAACUAUCAUAAACUGGUAAAGAAGUUAGUACACCAAUUCCUCGCCACAGAAAGAUGUCCACCACACGCCUAUUUAACAUAUGUCAGGGUCCAUCAAAGUCUCUGAGGGGCUACUUCUACUGCUUUAACGAGGCCACCAUCAAGGUCGUCCCACCUAACCAAAAAUGUUUAUGGUGGCAUUCCAAAAUAGAGUUGAGGCAUAACAAUUUAACGAGUCCCUCCCCCAUAAGCCAACAUUUUAGUUGGCAGAAGUGGUCACUAGAGUAGAGUCCUACAUAAAGGGUGAUGAGAAUAACAAUGAAAAAAAGGCGCACGAUGUCAAAGAGCACGUUCCCAAGGUCGGUGGCUCACAUCACCAGAGGAAGAGAAAUUAUACCUCAACCAUAAGCCAACAUUUUAGUUGGCAGAAGUGGUCACUAGAGUAGAGUCCUACAUAAAGGGUGAUGAGAAUAACAAUGAAAAAAAGGCGCACGAUGUCAAAGAGCACGUUCCCAAGGUCGGUGGCCCACAUCACCAGAGAAAGAGCAACUAUACCUCACCCAAAAAGGACCAUACUACAUUCAAAAGGGUAGGUAAGGUGGCAGAGAACUUCAAACCCUUGAACACUCACCACGAGCUAAUCUGGUACGAGGUUCUCCACCUUCACAACAUCCCUCUGGCGCCUACUCCUAAGACAAAUGUGAUGGGUUCUGAAUUGUUUAGGUGGUGCAAGUUCUAUAUUAUCAAGGGACACCACACCGAAGAUUUCUACUAACUCAAAUAGGAAAUCACUAGAUUAAUACAUGAGGGAAACCUCAAGAAAUAUGUGAGGCGCAACUCCCCCCAUUCGGAAAAUAAGUAUAACCCGCGAAGGCGAGACGAUGUUGGAAGCCCUAGACCCAAAAAAUCCCAAGAUGAUCUUUAAGAAGUAGGUAGUAAAAAUGCGUACCACACACUUAACACCGUAGCUUAAGGAUUAGCCAGGGCAGGGAAACCAACUCCGCCCAAAGCAGGUAUGCUCGCCAGAUCCUGAGUAUGGAAAACCUCCUUAAAGUUAAGACCGAAAGCAAGCGCCAAAUUCACAAGCCAUGAUCGCCUUCUCGGGGAAAGAUGCAGUUGUCAUCCAUCCUCUUAACUAUGACCCCGUGGUCAUUACCGUUAAGUGCGAAAGUUAGGGAAUUAAAAGAGAUAACAUGUACGUGUACGUGUAAAUGGGCAUAUCACCUUGAGGAUCACUUUUAGAUAGCAGGAAAAAGAGAUAAAAGUCAAAUAUCUGGUUAGUGAUGCCCCUUCUUCGUAUAAUAUGAUUAUAGGGCGACCGACCUUUAACCUGCUGGGCGACACCUUGUGAAAUAUGUAUUUGUGCAUGUCUCGAAUAGUUCUUUAUAGAAAAUAUUUGUUUGUUGGUUGAUUUUAGAGAAUAAUGUUUAGGUCGCAUUCAAGCGGUUUAACAUCUACUUGUAUGCUCGCACUAUGGAGGCUGGAUCAUCUGUUUAUAAUUCGUGUAGCAAUGGAUAAAACACUAUUCUUUUAUGAAAAAGUUUAUUUUGAUUGCAUCAGAGUAAAAAGUUAGUUUGGUGAGCUGAGAUUGAUUUUAGGUGGAAGACGAGUAACUGGUUCCAGCAAAGUGUACACUAAGCCUCCGAUACUCGAGAAACAAACAAAAAUACAUUCACCUGCUCCCUUUCUAAUCCAAGUUAAUUUAUAUAUAUUUUUUUAAGUUAACUAAUUACGUUCAUUAUAAUUGAUUCAGUUUUGAAAAUGGAUUUGAUGUAGGUUAACUUGUAAACAUGAUGAUUUAAUUGAAAAUAAUUUGAUUUUUCUUAUUUAUUGUGACAACUAUUCAAUUUGAUUUUUUAUGGAGAAUAAAAAUAGAUUUUUGAUUAUUAGCAUUCACAAUGUUCAUAAAAAUCCUGAAAUCAUCAAUUUAAUUAAUUAUAAAAAAAACAAAUAGCAAAAAUUUAAAACAAGAAAAGGGUGCAAACAAAGGUAGUAAAUUAAAACAAUGGUAUUGAAGUCAAAAAAUACAAAAAAAAGGGAAAGAAAUAAAGGGGGCGUGUGGUAAAAGAGGAGAAUGCCUAAUUGAGAGGGGCCCAAAGCUGGUCAAUAGGGGAAAGGGAGUUGACUUCGUGUGGGCCGCCUGAUUGCAUCAAGCGACCAUGAUGCGUUGUGCAUGAUAAGGCUAGUGAAUGGGGUAGUGUAGGAUCAUGGGAAAGAGAAAAGGAGGGAUCACGCCAUGUGGCGCAUUAUCUGCCACAUAAACUAGUCAAUAGUCAACUACAACAAACGGCCCAGAUUAAUUAUGAAUUUAAGCUUCUUCUUCCCCACUCAUGCAAGGCCAAUUGCACAAUAACAACAUCAAUGACUACUUUUUCUUUGAAAAUCACCUAAUAUGCAUAUAAUUUAACAAAUAAAUAUGCAAAAUUCAUCUAUGAAUCGUCAUGAACAUGAAUCCAUGAUCAAAGUGUAUUAAUUAACAACAAAAAAUGGUGAGAAUUAGGAUUUAAAGUAAACCUGAAUUUGAUUGAGUGGCUCGAUCCGGCCAUAACUUGAUGUUUUGAAUCACUUUGCAUUUUUUCUUCAAACGGUUGAUUUUUUAAUUUUCCGGGUUUUUGUUCUUGAAUGUUCAUGAACACUCAUGAACAUCAAUAACACUAAGAACACCAAUUUUUCAGAAAUUCAUAUUUCAAUUUAUUUUGAACAAAUGAUUAAAGGAUAUAAAACAUAGUAAGUGUAGAAACAAUUUUAUGUAAAAAAAAUCACACAAAAUACAAUGGUCAAGCCUUACCUAAGCGAAAAAACCUCAAGAAUGCGAUGAACACUGAUGAGCAACCCAAAUUCCGAUCAAGCUCCAAUAUUGCUCCAUCUAAACUCGUUUUUCAUGUCUCUUUGUAGAUCUAAACACCUAUUUAUCUUCUAUACCUCAUUCCAUCAUAAUUUCACAAUUUCUACAUUUUUUUUCAAAAUCGAGUUCAAAAUGGAUUUGCGCGAAUUUGAGUUUUGGUGUAGUUGUGUGUAGUUUUUUUUUGUCUAUACUAUGUAAUUGGACUCAUAUUUAUAAUAAUUUUCAUGUUAACAUAAAAGGAAAACAAGUCAUAGUGACAAAUCGCGACCAAUUAAAAACAAGCAUGACAAAUUGCGACCAAUUAGAAACAAGUAUGACACAUUGCAACCCUUUGAACAUGUAUGAUCAAAGAUCGUCGUCAACCUGAAAGAUCGGUGCUUAGAUCAAAGAUAAAAAUAUCUUCGUCAACCCGAAGGUCGAUGCUUACAUCAAGGAUAAAAAGAUCGUUGUCAACUCGAAGGUUGAUGCUUAGAUCAAGGAUAAAAAUAUCGUUGUUAACCCGAAGGUCGAUGCUUAGAUCAAGGAUAAAAAGAUCGACGUCAACCCGAAAGUCGAUGCUUAGAUCAAGGAUAAAAAGGUUGUUGUCAACCCAGAGGUUGAUGCUUAUAUCAAAGUUAAAAAGAUCAUCGUCAACCCGAAAGUUGAUGCUUAGAUCAAACAUGAAAAGAUCAUCGUUAACUUAGAAGCUUGAUGCUAAAAUCGUGGGAUAGGUCGUCGCCAACUCAAGGGUCAGCGCUUGGACCUACAAAUGAGAAAAGAUCACCGUCAACCCAAAGGUCGAUGCUUAGAUCAAAUAGGAAAGGAUCAUCGUUAAUAUGAAGAUUAAUACUUAGAUCAACAUAGGACAAGUUUGUCAUCAACCCGAAGCUCGACGUUUAGAUCACGGUAAAGUGAUCAUCGUCAAUCCGAAGAUUGAUGCUUAGAUCAAGGUGAGAUAAAUCAUCACCAACCAAAGGGUCAGUGCUUAGAUCGCACAUGAUAAGAUCAUCAUUAACAUGGAGGUUGAUGAUGCCUUAGAUCAUUACAGGACAAGAUCGUCGUCAACCCGAAAGUCAAUGCUUAGAUGAAGACAAACUGAUCAUCGUCAACCCAAAGGUCGAUGCUUAGAUCAAGGAUAAGAUCUAAGAAUGAUGAUUAGAUUAACAGAUAGAUCAUGGCCAACCCAAAGGUUAAUCCUUAGAUCAAACAAGAAAAUAUCUUCGUCAACUUGAGAGACCACACAAAUUCAAAUCAGUCGGAAAUUCAAGUGGAAGCAGUUGAGAAAGUUACGAUUGGUACAAGCACGAAAGAAAGUUUUUCUGUCAACUAGUGCAAUAUUGAAACCACACCACCAAAACUAGAUAAUAUUGAGAGACUAUCAAUUAUAUUCGAAAGUAUUCCAAACCCGUUCCUGGAUAUUACAUUAAGUCAUGAUCCAAGUCAAUUAUUUGUACUUUCUAAGGAUUCAAAUAAUGAAGAUUUGAAGGGACAUGAGUACCUAGACAAUUCCAUAUUACAAAUUUGGUGUUCGUAAGUAUAGCUUUUAUGUUGAUUUUUAUUUAUAUUCAUAAGUUCUUGUACAUUAACAUAAAGAUUUGACUCUUGCAGGUUCAUGCAUGAGUUCUGUGUUGAAAGUAAUACAAAUAAGUAGUAUUUCUUAGAUCCAUCGCGGCUUGGUCUUACUCACGGUUCGACAGGAAACAAUAUCUUUGUUUACAUACAAGAAAAGUUGAAAGAGAACAAAGAGUAUUAUUUGGUCCGUUUUUACUGUGAGUAAGUAUAUAUUAAUUUGUAUUUUCCUUUAUAAAUCAAAUUUAUACAUAUUAUUAAUUAUUCUGAAUUUUUAUGCAUUGAACAUUGACAACUAAUUGUUAUAUGUCCGAGGAAAAAUGUUAUAAUUGUGUUUUGCUCGUUGCGCUUUGUGCUGCCUAAAGUUGUGGUUAACACUUUGAAUGCGUAAGUGGUAUUAUUCUUAAUAUUCAAAUUUUAAUUUUAGAUUUGAAUAGUUUCUAUUCAUUUUUAAUUUUAACCAACAUGUGUAGAAUGAUUGAAGAACAUAAUGCAAUCAAACAAAAUUUACUUGGUUAAAAGCCAAACUAUGGAUAUCCAAAAGUAAGUAUACUACUUGUGCUUUUUGACUGUAUUAUUUGUGUGUAUUAGUGGUAUAAAUAUAUGAAAUUAUUCGUAGUGACGAAAACAACCCAACAACUAUUCUUGGGGAUACUAUGUUAUAAGAUAUAGACAUUACAAAUGGAUGGAUGAAGCACCAGGUAUACAUAUAUAUACACAUAUUUAUAUUUCUUAAGUUAAUGUUGUUGUUGUUAGCUUAUCGUAGUUUAAAGUUUGUUUUAAUUAUGAGUUUAAUGACAGAACACCAUACUCAAAAGAAGAUAUAAAUGACAUCCGAUCACAUUGGAUCAUUGCCUUCUAUUCAUUUUUUUUUGAAUCUUGACAACAAUAAUUUUUCUUGGUUGUUAUAAUAUUAAUUUGUAUAUGUACAUAGGUUUUGUCAUUUUUAUAUGCAAAUAUGUAAAUGUGUGUAUUUUGUAUUGAUGAGAAUAAUGUAAAUGUGUACAUUUGGUUUUGAAAGCAAUGAUAAUUUAUUAUUAUGUAUUUAAAAGAUUUAAAAUGAUAUGAUAUAUUUCAAUUUUGUCAUAUAUUUUGUAAUUUCUAUAUAAGAAAUGAUACAGGUCAGUGAAAAUAAGAUUUACAACAAUGUAAAUUUGAUAUUAUGUGUUUACAGGCUAAUGAAAAUAAGAUUUAUAAUGAUAUGAUACAAACUAGUGAAAAUAAAAUUUAUAAUGAUAUGAUACAAGCCAGUGAAAAUGAGAUUUAAAACAAAUUAUAUAUGAAAAUAAAUAAGAUUUAACCCCUCGAUUAUCACCUAAAAUCAAAGUAAAAGUAUACCUUAUUACCUCAAUUUUAAAUAAAACCGAGAGGUAUAUGACACACGCAACAAAAUUUGGAAAAUAAAAAUAUGUUAUUGCUAGGGAUCGAACCAAUGACCAUUUACUUUCUAAAAUCGAGGAAAAAAUGGCAAGUUAUCAUGUCACCCUUCGUUACCUCGUAUGUGUAAUCGAGAUAAAAGUCAUUUCGCGACAGAGAUAAGAUGUGUUAUUUAUAAUAGUGUUAUCAAUUGGAUAUGGCAAGAUCACGGGAAAGAGAAAAGGGGGACAACUACAUGUGACACGAGAUCUGACACAGAAACUAGUCAACAAACAACUGCAACGAAUGGUCCUGAUUACUUUUGGAUUUAAGCUUCUUUUUCCCUACUCAUGCAAGACCAAUUGCACAACAACAACAAUGAUUAUUUUUUCUUGGAAAAUCACCAAAUAUGCAUGGAAUUGACAAAUAAAUAUGCAAAAUUCAUCUACGAAUCAUCACGAACAUGAAUCUAUGAUCAAAGUGUAUCAAUUAACAAUAAAAAAUGACAAAAAUUAGAAUUUAAAAUGAAUUCAAAUUUGACUUUGAGGGACUCAAUCCGGCCAUAACUUAGUGUUUUAGACCAAAAAUAAUAAUUAAUUUAAAAAUAUAUACAUAAUACCAUAAUGUAUAAGAUUUGUCUAAACAUACCAUUUAUAAUAAGCAGAGAUUUAUGAUUGAUAUUAGCUAUAAUUAGCUUUAACAUUACACAAGACAACCAAACACAAAGCAACUAUAGCCACUUUAUUUUAUUUUAAAAAAGCAAACAUAUAUGAUAUGCUUUUUCUACAUCAUAUCAUUACAUAUAUUGCCUCCAAUAUCUCUGCUUCAAACUUUCAUAUUCAUUUGCAGUUGCAAGGGUCACAAGUGCAGCUAUCUCCACACUUGCAGCCACCAUCCUCAGCUGCAACACUCAUUUCAGCACCAUCAAACUGGAUCUUCGCCGGACCGACGCCAAGAAUCACGGUCUCUGUGGUUUCCAUUUCGGAGUAGCUCAAUCCACUAGACCUCUUGCUGCAUCUGCA
rnacentral:lncRNA from 1 species